rnacentral:lncRNA from 1 species
GCAAAAUCAUCUUUCAAAUAUAAGGUUACUUUAAAAUAAUUCUUUGGUUAAAGUAUAAUGAAAAUAAAAACUAGAAACUCCUCCAAGCCUUUCAAUACAGGGUGAAAAAUACCCUCUCUUUCAGCCAUCAGAUGGCCAUUUAAUCAGCCAUUCAGAUUCUAUGAAUCUAAAUGUAAUGGAAAACACUGUAUUCUGAACUCCUUGCUAGGGUGAAGGAAUGUGCUCCUAGCUACCAUUGCAGUGAGAGAGAAGGAGCCUGGGAAAAUGAAACCCCAGCUUGUGCAUUAAAAUGUGCCAAUUAUUCUAGUCCACAGAGGAAUCAACGUGGCAUUUUAAAAUCACUGAAACCAAAGUCUAUCUGUGAAUAAUACUGGGUUGUCAGCGGGAUGAUGUGGCACACGUGUGAGAGCAGCCGACUGUUUCAGACUUUCAAGCCCAGAUUAAAUCCUUUAAUUUCAUCUGUCUAUUUCAGAUAACUUUCUAC